GACGAACGCUGGCAGCGUGCUUAACACAUGCAAGUCGAACGGGCCUGUCUUCUUUUUCGGGGGGUGGGUUGAGUGGCGCACGGGUGAGUAUCACGUGAGUAACCUGCCCUUCGGUCCUGGAUAACCGCUUGAAAGGGCGGCUAAUACGGGGUGGUCCGGUUGGUCCGCAUGGGCUGGUCGGGAUAGAUUCACUGUUUUUGGUGUUUCGGCGGGGGAUGGGCUCGCGGCCUAUCAGCUUGUUGGUGGGGUGAUGGCCUACCAAGGCGGUGACGGGUAGCCGGCCUGAGAGGGUGGGCGGCCACACUGGGACUGAGAUACGGCCCAGACUCCUGCGGGAGGCAGCAGUGGGGGGUAUUGCACAAUGGGCGGAAGCCUGAUGCAGCGACGUCGCGUGAGGGAUGGAGGCCUUCGGGUUGUGAACCUCUGUUUCCGGUGGUGAAGGCCCUGUCCGUGUGGUGGGGUUGACGGUAGCCGGGGAUGAAGCGCCGGCUAACUACGUG
rnacentral:rRNA from 1 species